rnacentral:rRNA from 1 species
AUUGAACGCUGGCGGCAGGCCUAACACAUGCAAGUCGAGCGGAUGAAGGGAGCUUGCUCCUGGAUUCAGCGGCGGACGGGUGAGUAAUUCCUAUGAAUCUGCCUGGUAGUGGGGGAUAACGUCCGGAAACGGGCGCUAAUACCGCAUACGUCCUGAUGGAGAAAGUGGGGGAUCUUCGGACCUCUCGCUUUCAGAUGAGCCUAGGUCGGAUUAGCUAGUUGGUGGGGUAAAGGCCUACCAAGGCGACGAUCCGUAACUGGUCUGAGAGGAUGAUCAGUCACACUGGAACUGAGACACGGUCCAGACUCCUACGGGAGGCAGCAGUGGGGAAUAUUGGACAAUGGGCGAAAGCCUGAUCCAGCAAUGCCGCGUGUGUGAAGAAGGUCUUCGGAUUGUAAAGCACUUUAAGUUGGGAGGAAGGGAAGUAAGUUAAUACCUUGCUGUUUUGACGUUACCAACAGAAUAAGCACCGGCUAACUUCGUG